rnacentral:rRNA from 1 species
UACGAAGGGGGCUAGCGUUGUUCGGAUUUACUGGGCGUAAGCGCACGUAGGCGGAUUGUUAAGUCAGGGGUGAAAUCCCGGAGCUCACUCCGGAACUGCCUUUGAUACUGGCAAUCUAGAGUCCGGAAGAGGUGAGUGGAACCCCUAGUGUAGAGGUGGAAUUCGUAGAUAUUAGGAAGAACACCAAGGUGGCGAAGGCGGCUCGACUGGUCCGGUACUGGACGCGUGA